ACAAAGGCUCUUUUCAGAGCCACCUCCAAUUUUCUUUGUAAAGGGCU
rfam:Mesocricetus auratus contig023771, whole genome shotgun sequence.